rnacentral:lncRNA from 1 species
AUCUCACAUGCUUCAUACCUAAAUGUCUUCGUUACGAUGUUUGGGCACACGUACUUAACAAUCUUAGAACCUUUGUUGAGUGAGUAAGUGUGUAUCUGUUGUACCUCGCAAUUAGGUAAGCGGCGGACAGAAGGAGUUCCAUCCUCCUGGUGCUAUGGAAUCAGAGAACAGGUAGGAGAGAGCUGCAAAGACCCUUCCCACUCAGAAGGCUGGGACAGGGAGAGGAAACACAAGAGCUGCAGAUAUAUGACUGUACAUCUGGGUCUGCACAGAUACUCAUACACAGUUUUUGGCUCAAAGACAAUGAAACAACAGCAAAAAGGCCAGAAGGGGAAAGGUUUUUUUUUUUUUUGAAAUCA